CUAACCUAGUUGAGUAUGGAUAU
rnacentral:snRNA from 1 species